rnacentral:rRNA from 1 species
GAUGAACGCUGGCGGCGUGCCUAAUACAUGCAAGUCGAACGAAACUUCUUUAUCAUCGAGUGCUUGCACUCACCGAUAAAGAGUUGAGUGGCGAACGGGUGAGUAACACGUGGGCAACCUGCCAAAAAGAGGGGGAUAACACUUGGAAACAGGUGCUAAUACCGCAUAACCAUAGUUACCGCAUGGUAACUAUGUAAAAGGUGGCUAUACUACCGCUUUUGGAUGGGCCCGCGGCGCAUUAGCUAGUUGGUAGGGUAAAGGCUUACCAAGGCAAUGAUGCGUAGCCGAAUUGAGAGGGUGAUCGGCCACAUUGGGACUGAGACACGGCCCAAACUCCUACGGGAGGCAGCAGUAGGGAAUCUUCCACAAUGGGCGAAAGCCUGAUGGAGCAACGCCGCGUGGGUGAAGAAGGUCUUCGGAUCGUAAAACCCUGUUGUUAGAGAAGAAAGUGCGUGAGAGUAACUGUUCACGUUUCGACGGUAUCUAACCAGAAAGCCACGGCUAACUACGUG